rnacentral:rRNA from 1 species
GGGUGGAUCAGUGGCGAACGGGUGAGUAACACGUGAGCAACCUGCCCCUGACUCUGGGAUAAGCGCUGGAAACGGCGUCUAAUACUGGAUACGAGACGUGAUCGCAUGGUCAACGUUUGGAAAGAUUUUUCGGUUGGGGAUGGGCUCGCGGCCUAUCAGCUUGUUGGUGAGGUAAUGGCUCACCAAGGCGUCGACGGGUAGCCGGCCUGAGAGGGUGACCGGCCACACUGGGACUGAGACACGGCCCAGACUCCUACGGGAGGCAGCAGUGGGGAAUAUUGCACAAUGGGCGCAAGCCUGAUGCAGCAACGCCGCGUGAGGGAUGACGGCCUUCGGGUUGUAAACCUCUUUUAGCAGGGAAGAAGCGAGAGUGACGGUACCUGCAGAAAAAGCACCGGCUAACUACGUGCCAGCAGCCGCGGUAAUACGUAGGGUGCAAGCGUUAUCCGGAAUUAUUGGGCGUAAAGAGCUCGUAGGCGGUUUGUCGCGUCUGCUGUGAAAUCUGGGGGCUCAACCCCCAGCCUGCAGUGGGUACGGGCAGACUAGAGUGCGGUAGGGGAGAUUGGAAUUCCUGGUGUAGCGGUGGAAUGCGCAGAUAUCAGGAGGAACACCGAUGGCGAAGGCAGAUCUCUGGGCCGUAACUGACGCUGAGGAGCGAAAGGGUGGGGAGCAAACAGGCUUAGAUACCCUGGUAGUCCACCCCGUAAACGUUGGGAACUAGUUGUGGGGUCCAUUCCACGGAUUCCGUGACGCAGCUAACGCAUUAAGUUCCCCGCCUGGGGAGUACGGCCGCAAGGCUAAAACUCAAAGGAAUUGACGGGGACCCGCACAAGCGGCGGAGCAUGCGGAUUAAUUCGAUGCAACGCGAAGAACCUUACCAAGGCUUGACAUAUACGAGAACGGGCCAGAAAUGGUCAACUCUUUGGACACUCGUAAACAGGUGGUGCAUGGUUGUCGUCAGCUCGUGUCGUGAGAUGUUGGGUUAAGUCCCGCAACGAGCGCAACCCUCGUUCUAUGUUGCCAGCACGUAAUGGUGGGAACUCAUGGGAUACUGCCGGGGUCAACUCGGAGGAAGGUGGGGAUGACGUCAAAUCAUCAUGCCCCUUAUGUCUUGGGCUUCACGCAUGCUACAAUGGCCGGUACAAUGGGCUGCAAUACCGUGAGGUGGAGCGAAUCCCAAAAAGCCGGUCCCAGUUCGGAUUGAGGUCUGCAACUCGACCUCAUGAAGUCGGAGUCGCUAGUAAUCGCAGAUCAGCAACGCUGCGGUGAAUACGUUCCCGGGUCUUGUACACACCGCCCGUCAAGUCAUGAAAGUCGGUAACAC